CUAUUAUAGCUUUCGUACUUCCUGCAUCUUGCACUCUUCUAACUUUCAGGAUCUAACCGCCAUACAAAACAAAUUCCUCCGCCUCCUAGUUUACUGUCUCGUCUACAGCAGUCAGCAUCCAGUGCCUCUAACUGUACCCAAGAACGGGUUGAGAAUACAUAUGCAUCCGGUACAAGUUACACGCAGGCCUCAUCUCCAAGAAUAUCUGCCCUCCCGACCUUCCACCCAUCACCUGCUGUGCCCUCUACUAGACAAUCCUAUUCAAUGCGCAACCCGGCCCCCAUACUAGAACAGGAAAUGUCCGGACGAGGUUCCCGAUAUAAUGGUUUGAAUACCUUCGUACCUAUAUCUUAGAAUACCUUGUUCAG